AGAAUGACUCUCGGCAACGGAUAUCUCGGCUCUCGCAUCGAUGAAGAACGUAGCGAAAUGCGAUACUUGGUGUGAAUUGCAGAAUCCCGUGAACCAUCGAGUCUUUGAACGCAAGUUGCGCCCGAAGCCUUCUGGCCGAGGGCACGUCUGUCUGGGCGUCACGC
rnacentral:rRNA from 2 species